rnacentral:lncRNA from 1 species
UCAGGAAACGUAACCAUGAAAUAAACUGGCUGUUUUCUUUUAUGGCUAAAGACACACCAGAAUUCCUGUUCCCUGAUGUCCUGUCUUCAUCCUGACAUCUGCCAAAAAACAAGGCCCUGCGUCCCAGACACAGAGCUGCAUCACCAGGCCCAGCGUCCCAGACACUGAGCUCCAUCACUAGGCCAGGUCCCCAAUGGGCAGCUAGGAAAAGACCCAGACCCACAGAGACUGCAAGGCCUGUGCAUGAAUAAUGCAUACUACUAAUGCAGCUAGCUAGGCCUCCUACCUCCUUGUUCUCCUUCAGCCUCCUCUGCCAACAAAUGCACUAACAGUGGAGAAAGUGAAGGGGGGGGGCAGAGAAAAAGGAGGGGUGCGGGAGGAUGAAGAGGUAAAAAAGGGGGUGGACAGUAGAGAGUGAACAAACUGAAGGGGGAACAGGGGCCCAAGAAAGGAAGACGGGGCAGAGACUCUGAAAGGAAAUUGGCCAGUGGGGAGAGUGAGAGAGUGAGAGAGUGAGAGAGAGAGAGAGAAAAGCACAGGAUAUUGAGGGGGUUGUAGUGAGGGGGGAAAGAGAGAAUUUGAAAGAGGGUGAAAAGGGCAAAAGCACAGGAGACUGAGAGAGAGAAUGUAGAUAUAGAAGGAAGAGAAAGUUGUCCACAGAAAAGAACUGCUAGACGUGAAAGUGUUUUGUGAGCACAAAAGCACAGUGUGGACAUUGAUGUACGGCCAAUUGUAAAAAAAAAAAAUGAAGGAAAAAGAAAGAGGAAAAAAAAGGAUUAUUUAGCAUUGUUAAGAAUAACUCUCCCUGUGCUCUUCUUUUCCUAUAACAGGAGAUAUUUGUUUUUUAAAAAAAAGUGUUUCAGUGUACAUUGAAAGUCAACAGACAUAAAGAAAUUACAAAGACAAAUGAAAACAGAAAGACAGAUGAAACAGGAAAACCAGGCGGUGGCUAUGGGGUAGCUUUUCAAAUGGUUUACAUUCAUUCUAAUGAUGCAAGAUCAGUGCUUAGCAAUCAGUAAAAUAGUUUGAAAGAUGUCUUUCUUUUCUCCACCUUUUUUCCCCAAC